UACGGAGGGUGCAAGCGUUGUCCGGAUUUAUUGGGUUUAAAGGGUGCGUAGGCGGCCCUGUAAGUCAGUGGUGAAAUACUGCAGCUUAACUGUAGCAUUGCCAUUGAUACUGUAGGGCUUGAGUACAGAUGAGGUAGGCGGAAUUGAUGGUGUAGCGGUGAAAUGCAUAGAUACCAUCAAGAACACCGAUUGCGAAGGCAGCUUACUAAGCUGAUAACUG
rnacentral:rRNA from 1 species